rnacentral:tRNA from 1 species
GGACGCUUAGCUCAGCUGGGAGAGCAUCUGCCCUUUGGCAGAGGUCGGCGGUUCGAUCCCGUCAGCGUCCACCA